rnacentral:rRNA from 1 species
CUGCUAUCAGAGUUCGAUUAAGCCAUGCGAGUCGAGAGGUGCAAGACCUCGGCAUACUGCUCAGUAACACGUGGACAACCUACCCUACAGAAGGGGAUAACCCCGGGAAACUGGGGAUAAUACCCUAUAGACUAUGGAUGCUGGAAUGCUCUGUAGCCGAAAGGUCCGCCGCUGUAGGAUGGGUCUGCGGCCGAUUAGGUUGUUGUUGGGGUAACGGCCCAACAAGCCUGUAAUCGGUACGGGUUGUGGGAGCAAGGGCCCGGAGAUGGAUUCUGAGACACGAAUCCAGGCCCUACGGGGCGCAGCAGGCGCGAAAACUUUGCAAUGCGGGAAACCGUGACAAGGGAACUCUGAGUGCCCGUAAAAUCGGGCUGUCCAUCAGUUUAAACAACUGGUGAAGAAAGGGCCGGGCAAGACCGGUGCCAGCCGCCGCGGUAAUACCGGCGGCUCGAGUGGUGGCCACUAUUACUGGGCUUAAAGCGUUCGUAGCUGGUCUGUUAAGUCCCUGGGGAAAUCUU